rnacentral:misc_RNA from 1 species
CCAUCUGGUCAUUCCUACAAGAGACUACUGCUUUGCACCAUCCCUAAAUGAUAUUUGCCUAGCUGUGGAUUUCAUUCAUGAGAAUGUAUUGCAAGGAUGUACUACAUAUGUUCAUUGUAAGGCUGGUCGGGGGCGCAGUACAACCAUUGUUCUUUGUUACCUGGUGCAACACAAACAGAUGACACCUGAAGCUGCAUAUGAUCAUGUCAAGUCAAUCAGGCCAAGGGUGCUUCUAGCACCUGCUCAGUGGCAGG